rnacentral:lncRNA from 1 species
AGCCUCCAACAGCAACAAACACAACAACAGCAGCGACCAUCGAUGGAGGAGCCGGUGGCUCAUUCAGUGACGUCUAGGCACAGCCACCAUUUCUUAGAUUCUUUUUUUUAUAUUGCUAUAAAAAUACCUAUUGACAGUCGCUACCCUGUCCAUCCAUGCCUGAUGAAGCUCGACGAUCUUUCGAUAUCCACUCUCUAAAGCAUACAUAUCAUGCGCCCACUGAAAGGAAAAGACAAGUCAGAUCAAAAAAAAAAAGAGGAAAAGAACGUUGGAAACUUAUCCGAAGCAUCACCGGGUAAAAUGAUGAAAAUAUUUCGAACACUGUCCGAUUUCUCCUAUUCUCCCUAUCAGUCAGGAGAAGUGCAGCUUUGAUGAAUUGUCUGACCAA